AAGACUAUACUUUCAGGGAUCAUUUCUAUAGUUAUUAAUAUUGAGAUAUGUGUUUCUAAAGUGAACGGUCUCGCCAACUACGAUGAUGAGAAUUGAUGUUCCUUCCUGAGCGUGAAGCUAGCGGAGAAUAAUGAUGUUUAUAUCAUAGAUUCUCCACUUUUGAUGAGCGUUCUAUGCUUCCUAGUGGAGCAUUGAGGGGAGGGACAUGAUCAGAGUAGU